UAGGGAAUCUUCCGCAAUGGACGCAAGUCUGAUGGAGCAACGCCGCGUGAGUGAAGAAGGAUUUCGGUUCGUAAAACUCUGUUGUUAGAGAAGAACAGCGCAUAGAGUAACUGUUAUGCGUGUGACGGUAUCUAACCAGAAAGCCACGGCUAACUACGUGCCAGCAGCCGCGGUAAUACGUAGGUGGCAAGCGUUGUCCGGAUUUAUUGGGCGUAAAGCGAGCGCAGGCGGUCAAUUAAGUCUGAUGUGAAAGCCCCCGGCUCAACCGGGGAGGGUCAUUGAAAACAGGUUGACUGGAGUGCAGAAGAGGAAGGUGGAAUUCCAGGUGUAGCGGAGAAAUGCGUAGAUAUAUGGGGGAACACCAGUGGAGAAGGCGACUCUGUGGUCUGUUACUGACGCUGAGGCUCGAAAGCGGGGGUAGCAAACAGG
rnacentral:rRNA from 1 species